CCUACGGGAGGCAGCAGUGAGGAAUAUUGGUCAAUGGGCGCGAGCCUGAACCAGCCAAGUAGCGUGAAGGAUGACUGCCCUACGGGUUGUAAACAUCUUUUAUAAGGGAAUAGAGUGAGGCACGUGUGCCUUUUUGUAUUGACUUUAUGAAUAAGGAUCGGCUCACUCCGUGCCAUCAGCCGCGGUAAUACGGAGGAUCCGAGCGUAAUCCGGAUUUAUUGGGUGUAAAGGGAGCGGAGAUGGGUUGUUAAGUCAGUUGUGAAAGUGUGCGGCUCAACCGUAAAAUUGCAAGUGAUACUGGCAGUCUUGAGUACAGUUGAGGUAGGCGGAAUUCGUGGUGUAGCGGUGAAAUGCUUAGAUAUCACGAAGAACUCCGAUUGCGAAGGCAGCCUACUAAACUGCCACUGACAUUGAUGCUCGAAAGUGUGGGUAUCAAACAGGAUUAGAUACCCUUGUAGUC
rnacentral:rRNA from 1 species